GUGUGAAAGUGCAGGAAAUGGUGCCAGGAGAUGUCUAGUGGUGGAUCCCACAAGAGGCAGAAGCACCCUCUGCAAAUGUGCAGACAAGAGCAGAUGAGGUGGUUGGUGGGGUGAGCACCAGCGCUUCCAUUGAGCAGGACUUGGACAAUGUCAGGCGGACAGAAACAUCCUGGAGCUGAAUAGAGAUGUGGGUUGGAGUGGCCCCAUGUGCCAGUAGAGUCUGGGAAGCAGCUGGCUGAGGAGCAGGCCUGUGGAGAAGGACCCGUGCAUUACCUUGAAAGCAGUAAGAUCACCUUAAGCAGCUGACAGCAGUUCCAUUGGUAAGUGCAAGACUGGGAUGGGUGACCGGAUAGGCUGCAGUGUCUCCAAUCAUGGAGGUAUUCAAGAUUCAACCAGACAGAGCCACGAUGGACUCAAUCCAGUGCAGAUCCCAGCCUUGUUUCGAGGUGCAGGUUGGGUUAGAGACAUGUAGAGGUCCCUUCCCACCAACAUUUCAGCAAGUGUGUGAAACCCUGCCACAAGGGAUACUGUGCUCCAGGCAAGUUUUACUGCAUGUGCUCCACUGCCCUGUUCCCACUGAAGGCAAUAUCCAGGUUCAGCACACCACUAAUGGCCGGGCACACGGGCAGCUUCCUAGCUUUUGAGGAGACUCAUAGUGAAAGGUCUACAUGCUGCUCUAGUGCAUGUGCUUUCCUGCCCCAUUGAGACUUCUAAGCAAAAAAACAUCUGAAAAGUGGUUAUUUUUAACUCUGGAGGAGAGGCAUUAUUAUAAUUUCAACCUGGCAAAGCAACAGCAACAAGCAGACACAUCCUCUCCAAAGUAAACUCCUCAAAUAUGAAAUGGUUCCAGGGCAAUAAUUAGACGCAGUUGAGCAUGUAGAAGGAUCCGAAAUGCUCCACCCCAGGGCAUGUAUCUGUUGUAGGACAGCACUGAGCCUGGAAAAGUACGUUAUGGAGCCUUUCAUCUCCCCCAAAGCACUUUACAGACAGUUUUGGUUCCUUGAAAUAAAAACAUUAGGACCCUGCAUGUACUUAAAACGUCCUCGGUGGAGCUACUGGGAGACACUCUGUGCCAUAGCAGAACCAUAACUUACAGUUCAUGCGACCACCAGUCCUUCACAAAUACUAUAACCUAUAAAAACUCAAAAUACGAGUAAAUAACGAGCAUCAUCAUCAUCAUCAUCAUCAU
ensembl:lncRNA